rnacentral:rRNA from 1 species
AUUGAACGCUGGCGGCAGGCCUAACACAUGCAAGUCGAGCGAGCGGCGGACGGGUGUGAAAUGUCUGGGACACUCCCUGAUGGAGGGGGAUACCUACUGGAAACGGUAGCUAAUACCGCAUACCAUCAGAUGUGCCCAGAUGGGAUUAGCUAGUAGGUGGGGUAAUGGCUCACCUAGGCGACGAUCCCUAGCCGGUCUGAGAGGUUGACCAGCCACACUGGAACUGAGACACGGUCCAGACUCCUACGGGAGGCAGCAGUGGGGAAUAUUGCACAAUGGGCGCAAGCCUGAUGCAGCCAUGCCGCGUGUGUGAAGAAGGCCUUCGGGUUGUAAAGCACUUUCAGAGAGGAGGCGUUACUCGCAGAGGAAGCACCGGCUAACUCCGUGCCAGCAGCCGCGGUAAUUC